UCUGCCAGUGUUGUUCUACUACGUGUACAAAGUGCAGUAACUCUGUCACUAGCCCCACUGCAGGGCCCCGAUUUUUGGCCUGCCCACAUCAGGCCCCGUGUCGCCCAUUGUUGGCCCCUGUCUUACUGGUUUGCCCGUUGUUGGCCCGUGUCGCCCAUUGUUGGCCCCUGUCUUACUGAUUUGCCCAUUGUUGGCCUGUGUCGCCCAUUGUUGGCCCCUGUCUUACUGGUUUGCCCAUUGUUGGCCCCUGUCUUACUGGUUUGCCCAUUGUUGGCCCCUGUCUUACUGGUUUGCCCAUUGUUGGCCCCUGUCUUACUGGUUUGCCCAUUGUUGGACCCUGUUUUAUGCAAUGACCAUUGGUCCCUGUGUUUGAUUACCUGAUUUCUACAGUGUUAUUGAUUAACUGAUAUCUACUGUGUUACUGCUUACCUGGUUUCAACGUUCUGUUUGGUAUCAAGUACCUGUCUAUCUAUUUGUGGUUCUGAGAGUUUCUCUGCUCUGUUCUAUCUCUCUCUCAUCAUAUCAGCUUAAAUUGCUCAACUAAAGUGCACACAUAAUUGCAAAACUGAUAAAUACUGUUGCUGACUCAGUCUUACUGUUGAGCUACUGUUUCUUGUCUACGAGGCACCUGGAUUCAGGUGGAGGAAGCUGCAAGCAGAAGCUCUCAUCUCAUCACUGCAACAACUGCCUGAACUUAACUGUGUUAAGACUUAACAUAAGACUAUAAUAACAUACGCCUAUAAUAGUAUAAAGGUUAUUCUGCUGGUAAGUGCAAAGAAUCUUAGAGGAUAUUAAGACUGUUGGUCUGAAUAUAAGUGAAAACUAUUACAAACACAGUUCGACUUAAUUUAUCCACUUGUGAUUCAUAUUAAAGAAAUAUUGUCAUUGUUCUCAAACUUUUCAGUUCAGUGAGGCUUUUCAGGUUUGUAGACUUGUUACAAUCUAAUAACUAUCCUGAAUUUAAUUUGAAUAUUAUUAGGUUAUUGGUCCCUGAUGUAAAAAGGUAAAUUAAAAUAAAGAAUAUAAAACCAAUGGUGAAUAGACCUUU
rnacentral:lncRNA from 1 species